rnacentral:rRNA from 1 species
UACGUAGGGCGCACGCGUUGUCCGGAAUUAUUGGGCGUAAAGAGCUCGUAGGUGGCUUGUCGCGUCUGCCGUGAAAGCCCAUGGCUUAACUAUGGGUCUGCGGUGGAUACGGGCAGGCUAGAGGCUGGUAGGGGCAAGCGGAAUUCCUGGUGUAGCGGUGAAAUGCGCAGAUAUCAGGAGGAACACCGGUGGCGAAGGCGGCUUGCUGGGCCAGUUCUGACGCUGAGGAGCGAGAGCGUGGGGAGCGAACAGG